CUGCCAAAAUUCAAAAUAAAAAUAAAAAUAAAUCAAUCAAUAAAAAGCAAAAUAAAAACGAAAAUAAAUACUAAAAUAAGAAAUAUGAUACAAAAAUUAAAUAUAAAUACAAAAAUAAAUGUGGAAAUAAGUAGCUAAUUAAUUAAAAGUAGAAAUAAAAAUGAAUAUAUAUACAAAAAUAAGAAAUUACAUUAAAAAUGUAAGAAUAAAUACAAAAAUAAAUGUGGAAAUAUAUACAAAAAUAAAUAUAUUGAUUGAAAUAAAUGUCAAUCAAUAAAUAAAAACGCUUUGCCUUAUAUUGACUUAUUUCAUUGUCAGCGUCAACUUGCAAGUGGAAAUGUAAUUCAAAUGAGGAGGCGUUCCUAAGGGUGCCAUGGGUUGAACUAUUCGCUUAUUGGUUGAUCGACGUUCGAUUUCUGAAAUCUACUAGCCAUGCCUGCCACAGACGACAGAACGUGGGUCUGAAAGUCAGGGAAAUAGCCGCCCUAGUAGUCCUACUUGGUGAGAAGUGAUGGAAUAUGCAUUAUCCACCAUCGAAUGUCAAAGCAUGGUAUAAGAGUCUCUGGCUUGAAUAAUUCCACUGACAUCGCAACGUUGGAUGCUGGGUGAUUACAGGGAUCCCAGGAUCUCAUCCAAAUUCUGGGUUCAGAAUGAUGCAAGGACAUCUCUGGUUCCGACGUACAAAGGUUCAGAGACUUCGUGUGCAAGAAUCCAUGCCACGUCUGGAUCCACCGGGAAUUGUCCGCGCACUACAACUACAAACUGUUCGCCUGUGCCACCCCCCAACAGUCAAAGGCAUAGCUAUGGCAACCAUAAAAAACACCAAAUUACCAAUUUAAUACGUACCUUGUCCUCAUCCAACCGAUUGCCAGACCUUCCGUAGCCGCUUGGACUCCGACC